AACGCUGGCGGCACGCCUAACACAUGCAAGUCGAACGGACGAUAUUUGGAUUUAUUCGAAUAUCUUAGUGGCGACGGGUGAGUAACACGUGAGCAACCUGCCUUUUGAGAGAGGGAUAGCUUUUGGAAACGAAUGGUAAUACCUCAUAACGUAUAUUUGAGGCAUCUCAGAUAUACCAAAGAUUUUAUCACUCAAAGAUGGGCUCGCGUCUGAUUAGCUAGAUGGUGAGGUAACGGCUCACCAUGGCGACGAUCAGUUAGCCGGACUGAGAGGGUGAUCGGCCACAUUGGGACUGAGACACGGCCCAAACUCCUACGGGAGGCAGCAGUGGGGGAAUAUUUGCACAAUGGGGGAAACCCUGAUGCAGCAACGCCGCGUGAAGGAUGACGUAUUUCGGUAUGUAAACUUCUAUCAGCAAGGAAGAUGAUGACGGUACUUGACUAAGAAGCCCCGGCUAACUACGUG
rnacentral:rRNA from 1 species